GUUUCCCGGCUGGCUGUAACGCACUCCUGCAAAACAAGACAGACCCAACAGCAGAUGUGGAGCCCCACCUGCCCCAGGAGGCUAUAACGCCCCUUCCCCGGGGCCAGGCAAGCCGCCAUAACCAGAAGCCUUACAAAUCACUAAGAUGAAGCUUUCCAAGAAGAGACCCAAGGAUCAUCUGAAGGAUGUUACCCAAGGCUGACAUGACCUAGAGCUUAAGGGGGCUGGGAAGAAAACAAACAAAUGCUAAGGCAGGGUUCUAACCUUCAAGAGCAACGUGUUUGACUCUGAAUGGCUUGAUGAUGCAUGUUCUCUGAGCUUCCUCUA